rnacentral:rRNA from 1 species
UAGGGAAUCUUCCGCAAUGGACGCAAGUCUGACGGAGCAACGCCGCGUGAGUGAAGAAGGAUUUCGGUUCGUAAAACUCUGUUGUUAGAGAAGAACAGCGCAUAGAGUAACUGUUAUGCGUGUGACGGUAUCUAACCAGAAAGCCACGGCUAACUACGUGCCAGCAGCCGCGGUAAUACGUAGGUGGCAAGCGUUGUCCGGAUUUAUUGGGCGUAAAGCGAGCGCAGGCGGUCAAUUAAGUCUGAUGUGAAAGCCCCCGGCUCAACCGGGGAGGGUCAUUGGAAACUGGUUGACUUGAGUGCAGAAGGGGAGAGUGGAAUUCCAUGUGUAGCGGUGAAAUGCGUAGAUAUAUGGAGGAACACCGGUGGCGAAAGCGGCUCUCUGGUCUGUAACUUACGCUGAGGCUCGAAAGCGUGGGGAGCGAACAGG